rnacentral:lncRNA from 1 species
CGGUUUUUUUUUUUCGUUUUGUUUUUUUUUCAAAACACGUGGGCUUCGCCUAGCGAGCAUGACAACUCAUGAACAAACCUUUGCUCCUUCAAGAUUAACGUUUUGACUGACGAAUAGACCCCUGUUGGAAGUAACUCAAGUCUUUCCCUUGUGUUGACUGAUCAUCUAAAUAGAGCCCACAAAGUGUCCUGGAUAAUGUUCAAACUUCUUGGAUUCAAUUCCGAUUGCCAUGAUGAAAUGC